rnacentral:sRNA from 1 species
AUAGCUAAAUGCUAAGAGGAGAGUGUAGUGGUUGUAAUUGAGUAGCUUUAUCCUCCUGGAGAUUUUUAAGCUGGAUCCUAUCAUAUACCCUGGUCGGUUUGGGUAGUAUGAUUCAAGGCACUUGGAACGGUCUUGGGGAAUAUAGCUUGGUAAUUGAACUGCUUAAGCUUAUUAUUAAUAUUUAAGCUAUAGUUCCAGGCCCAUUCCAGAGGUCCCCCAGCCAAUGCACUUCAUAAAAGGGAAGAUACAUCUUAAUAUACCAGUUUUGUAUCUCAUGCUACCAUUGUAGCAUCAAAAAAAUAGACAUUUAAAUCAUGGCUAAUAAUCAACAAAUUUUAGAAUGAAAUAGUUGGUAAAUUUUGUGACUUUAAACUUUUCUUUUUGUGUGUGUGUAUGCAGCAAUGAAAACUACUGGAUGUAAUUUAGAUAAGGUAAAUAUUAUCCCUAAUGCCCUGAUGACUCCACUCAUACCAAGCAGUAUGAUUAAGAGUGAAGAUGUUACUCCAAUGGAAGUAACAGCAGAAAAAAGAUCUUCCACUAUUUUUAAGACUACAAAGUCAGUUGGAUCAACUCAGCAAACAUUAGAAAACAUCUCAAACAUAGCAGGAAAUGGCUCUUUUUCAUCACCAUCAUCUUCCCACCUACCUUCUGAAAAUGAAAAACAGCAGCAGAUUCAGUCCAAGGCAUACAACCCAGAGACCCUGACAACUAUUCAAACCCAGGACAUUUCACAGCCUGGUACUUUUCCAGCAGUUUCUGCUUCUAGUCAGCUGCCCAACAGCGAUGCACUAUUGCAGCAGGCUACACAGUUUCAGACAAGAGAAACUCAGUCUAGAGAGGUAUUACAGUCAGA